AUGAGUGCUAGGCUGGCUCCCCUCGCUACUGCAAUGCUCUGUGCUGUGGUAGCCGCGCUGCUGCUCCUGCCGGCGCCGCCGUCGUUGGGCGCCGAGGAGGAAGCAGCUACAAGCCGGAGUAACUGCACCACCCACUGCGGCAACAUCAGCAUCCCAUACCCGUUCGGGGUGGAGCCCGGCUGCUACCACGACAGCGGCUUCAACCUCACCCGCAACCAGUCCUACAGCCCGCCCCAGCUCUUCCUCGGCGACGGCACCGUUCAGGUGCUCGACAUCGAUCUGCCCAACGGCACGGUACGUAUCAACAGCAAGCCAUUGGAAAUCCCCUAUGGCGACAAUGGAAAAGUAAGCCGCCGCACAUGGCGCGCCGGCGGCCUGGGAUACGCUGCCGACGGGCCAUACUUUCUAGCGGGAGCAGGGCGGAACAACUUAGUAGCACUCGGGUGCAACUUCCAAGUCGUCCUCUUGGGAGAGAACAACAACCUUGUCAGCUCUUGCUCUCCUUUCUGCCCGGGCACAGGUUACAAGGAUACAGAUACCUGCUCCGGCAUCACCUGCUGCCAGGCAACCAUACUGGAGGGUCGCGCUUCCUACGGACUCCUCGUUCAACGGGUUGGUUUCGGUUAUUAUAGAUCCUGGGUCAAUGUGUUAAUUAUGGAAUCGGACUAUUUGCUUAACGUGACGGACUAUUCUUAUGACCAGUACACAGUCCCUGCCAUGCUAGGCUGGGCGAUCAACAGCUCCGUAUGUCAUACCAAUGGGUUGUCACCUGCCUGCCGCAGUAAUCACAGCUUCUGUCUUAACUACACCACAGAUUUUGAUCAAGGUCUUGUUUAUGGUUAUGAGGAUCAACGGCAUAACUGCAGGUGUGCUGGUGGUUACCAAGGCAAUCCAUACAUCUCCCAUGGCUGCUAUGACAUUGACGAAUGUAAACACAAGGAAACAUAUCCAUGUUAUGGAAUCUGCAUCAAUUUGCCUGGGACAUUCCAUUGCCGGUGUCAAGAUGGUGCCUAUGGAGAUCCAUUGAUGAAAUUGGGAUGUGUCAGCGUCAGAACAAAAAGGCCAUUUACAGACCCUCUGACAACAAGCUAUUUACACUUGAGUACAAGAUAUAACUCAACAGAAAUCGAUGACUUCAUAAACGAGGUUGCAAUUCUUUCUCAAAUCAACCAUAGAAAUGUCGUGAAGCUAAUCGGAUGUUGUCUUGAGACAGAAGUCCCAUUACUAGUUUAUGAGUUCAUUUCGAAUGGUACUCUUGAUCAGCAUCUUCAUGGUGAAGGCCCAAUAUCACUGUCAUGGGAUGAUCGAAUAAGGAUCGCGCUUGAUGUUUCUAGAGCUCUAUCUUAUCUUCAUUCAGCUGCAUCGAUGCCUAUUUAUCACCGGGAUAUUAAAUCAUCCAACAUUCUUCUUGAUGAUAAUUUAACAACAAAGGUAUCCGAUUUUGGAGCUUCGAGGUACAUUCCAAUUGACAAAACAGGGGUGACUACAGCUGUGCAAGGAACAAUAGGUUACUUAGACCCUAUGUAUGUAUUAUACUGGUUGCCUAACAGAAAAGAGUGAUGUUUUCAGUUUUGGUGUUCUGCUUGUAGAACUCCUAACUAGAAAAAAACCAUGCCUCUACCUUAGUGGUGGCAACGAUGGUGUUGGUCUCGUUUCACAUUUUGUUUCACUACUCGCAGAAGGUAACCUUGAUGAGAUAAUAGAUCCUCAACUCAUAGAAGAGGAAAAUGGGGAAGUCCAUGAGGUAGCUACGCUAGCAGCGAUGUGCAUUAAAUUGAAGGGAGAAGAGCGGCCUACAAUGAGGGAGGCAGAGAUGAAACUUGAAAUCCUGAGAGUUAACAUGCGUGUGGCACCUGAUACUGCUGCACCAAGGAGAUAUGAUGGAGGUCAAGAUGGAUCUCUAUGGAUGCCAGCUGAAGGAGUUGUUGUGGAAGCAAGCAGGCAAUACACUAUGGAGGAAGAAAUAUUAUCGUCUGGAAGUUAUCCUCGAUGA
rnacentral:rRNA from 1 species